CCUACGGGAGGCUGCAGUGGGGAAUAUUGGACAAUGGGGGGAACCCUGAUCCAGCCAUGCCGCGUGUGUGAAGAAGGCCCUCGGGUUGUAAAGCACUUUCAGUGAGGAAGAACGCCUGGUGGUUAAUACCCAUCAGGAAAGACAUCACUCACAGAAGAAGCACCGGCUAACUCCGUGCCAGCAGCCGCGGUAAUACGGAGGGUGCGAGCGUUAAUCGGAAUUACUGGGCGUAAAGCGCGCGUAGGUGGCUUGAUAAGCCGGUUGUGAAAGCCCCGGGCUCAACCUGGGAACGGCAUCCGGAACUGUCAAGCUUGAGUGUAGGAGAGGACGGUAGAAUUCCCGGUGUAGCGGUGAAAUGCGUAGAGAUCGGGAGGAAUACCAGUGGCGAAGGCGGCCUUCAGGACUGACACUGACACUGAGGUGCGAAAGCGUGGGUAGCAAACAGGAUUAGAUACCCGGGUAGUC
rnacentral:rRNA from 1 species